ACUAGUUGCCCAAGACUAAGGGGAAACCUGCCAGAGGGGGCCCCAAAGCAAACUCCUGCUUUCAGAAGGUCUGCAGGUGGGCCAGCUUCUUUGGGCAUCUCAGGGUGGGCUUGUUCCGGGAUAGCUGAGCUUUGAUCUCAGCCCUGAGAGCAGAGAACGCUGAAGCAAGGAGAUUCAGGAAAAGCAGCCAGGUGUUGACCCCAUGGCCUCCUCUGGGGAGAUGAAGAGAAGGCUCGUGGAGAGAAUGAUGACAGGAGGAGGAAAGACCUGCUUCUCAGCUGGAGGACUUUCAGGGCUAAGCACUAGCAUGGACCAAGGAGUCACAAAUACAAACCACGUGACCUGAGUGCUGGGCCACUGAGACAGAUCAGGCUUAGCACAUCUGGAAUGGGCAGCACAUCUGGAAUGGGCAGCACAUCUGGAAUGGGCUUGGGAUUUUCAUUCCCAGGCAGCUCAGGGAGGACCACUAAUGGCCAAAGAUGACAAGCAAGCAGCUGGGACCACUUAGGGACCUCUGAGAGCUGCAAAAGCACAGAGUGUCUGGGGUGAGUGUGUCUGUGGGUGGCUUCCCUGUGUGUGCAGGCUAAAUGAAAUACCUCUUCUCACUCAGGACAGGAGCAAAAGCCCCAGGCCAGGACAGAGGGAAGAUGGAGCAGGCUCUAGAGCUCAUCAAACGGAACUGACAACUAGAGGAAGGUCUGCAGGGCUUGACAGCCUCUGGAAACCAAAGCUGAAUAAAUGACCAGAGGGUGAAUAAUACAUUAGGGCAGAUGGGGACUGUGGCAAAGUUAAAAAUCUCAUUUGACUCAAAGUAUAAAUGGAUGGAUUGGCAUGGAGAAAAAAA